GACAGAGGCCCCGAGCGUUAGGCGGAAUCACUGGGCUUAAAGCGUGUGUAGGCGGAUCGUUAAGUGCCUUGUGAAAUCCCACGGCUCAACCGUGGAACUGCUUGGCAUACUGGCGGUCUUGAGCAACCUAGGGGCAAGCGGAACAAAUGGUGGAGCGGUGAAAUGCGUAGAUAUCUGGAGGAACACCGGUGGCGAAGGCGGCAUCCUGGACCGACAUUGACGCUGAGGCGCGAAAGCCAGGGGAGCAAACGGG
rnacentral:rRNA from 1 species